GCGGCGGACGGGUGAGUAAUGCCUAGGAAUCUGCCUAGUAGUGGGGGAUAACUUGCCGAAAGGUAAGCUAAUACCGCAUACGUCCUACGGGAGAAAGCAGGGGACUCUUCGGAGCCUUGCGCUAUUAGAUGAGCCUAGGUCGGAUUAGUUAGUUGGUGAGGUAAUGGCUCACCAAGACCGCGAUCCGUAACUGGUCUGAGAGGAUGAUCAGUCACACUGGAACUGAGACACGGUCCAGACUCCUACGGGAGGCAGCAGUGGGGAAUAUUGGACAAUGGGGGAAACCCUGAUCCAGCCAUGCCGCGUGUGUGAAGAAGGUCUUCGGAUUGUAAAGCACUUUAAGUUGGGAGGAAGGGCAGUUAACUAAUAUUUGACUGUUUUGACGUUACCGACAGAAUAAGCACCGGCUAACUUCGUGCCAGCAGCCGCGGUAAUACGAAGGGUGCAAGCGUUAAUCGGAAUUACUGGGCGUAAAGCGCGCGUAGGUGGUUCGUUAAGUUAGGAGUGAAAGCCCCGG
rnacentral:rRNA from 1 species